GUAACCUGGUUGAUCCUGCCAGUAGUCAUAUGCUUGUCUCAAAGACUAAGCCAUGCAUGUCUAAGUAUAAGUGUUAUACAGCGAAACUGCGAAUGGCUCAUUAAAGCAGUUAUAGUUUAUUUGAUAAUCGAAUUUACAUGGAUAACCGUGGUAAUUCUAGAGCUAAUACAUGCUGGUGUGCCCGACUUUUGUGG
rnacentral:rRNA from 1 species